UACGUAGGGGUCCGAGCGUUGUCCGGAAUUAUUGGGCGUAAAGGGCUCGUAGGCGGUUGGUCACGUCGGGAGUGAAAACUCAGGGCUCAACCCUGAGCGUGCUUCCGAUACGGGCCGACUAGAGGUAUGCAGGGGAGAACGGAAUUCCUGGUGUAGCGGUGAAAUGCGCAGAUAUCAGGAAGAACACCAAUGGCGAAAGCAGCUCUCUGGGACGGUACUGACGCUGAGACGCGAAAGCGUGGGGAGCGAACAGG
rnacentral:rRNA from 1 species